rnacentral:rRNA from 1 species
AUUGAACGCUGGCGGCAGGCUUAACACAUGAAAGUCGAGCGAGCGGCGGAAGGGUGAGUAAUGUCUGGGAAACUGCCUGAUGGAGGGGGAUAACUACUGGAAACGGUAGCUAAUACCGCAUACCAUCAGAUGUGCCCACAUGGGAGUAGCUCGUAGGUGUGGUAAUUGCUCACCUCAGCGACGUUCCCUAGCUGUUCUGAGAGGAUGACCAGCAACUCGUGAACUGAGACACGGUCCAGACUCCUACGGGAGGCAGCAGGGGGGAAUAUUUAACAAUGGGCGCAAGCCUGAUGCAUCCAUGCCGCGUGUGUGAAGAGGGCCUUCGGGUUGUAAAGCACUUUCAGCUAGGAGGCGUUACUCGCAGAAGAAGCACCUGCUAACUCCGUGACAGCAGCGGCGGUAAUAC